rnacentral:rRNA from 1 species
AUUGAACGCUGGCGGCAGGCCUAACACAUGCAAGUCGAGCGAGCGGCGGACGGGUGAGUAAUGUAUGGGGACUGCCCGAUAGAGGGGGAUAACUACUGGAAACGGUAGCUAAUCCCGCAUACUAUCGGAUAACCCAUAUGGGAUUAGCUAGUAGGUGAGGUAAUGGCUCACCUUGGCGACGAUCCCUAUCUGGUCUGAGAGGAUGAUCAGACAGUAUGGGAUGAGGACACGGCGAAGACUCCUACGGAGGCAGCAGUGGGGAAUAUUGCACAAUGGGCGCAAGCCUGAUGAAGCCAUGCCGCGUGUAUGAAGAAGGCCCUAGGGUUGGAAAGUACUUUCAGUCGGGAGGCGUUACCGACAGAAGAAUCACCGGCGAACUCCGCGCAAGCAGCCGCGGUAAUUC